AUAACGGUCCUAAGGUAGCGAAAUUCCUUGUCAGGUAAGUUCUGACCCGCACGAAAGGUGUAACGAUCUGGGCACUGUCUCAACAACCCGCCCGGCGAAAUUGUAGUACCGGUGAAGAUGCCGGUUACCCGCGACUAGACGGAAAGACCCCAUGGAGCUUUACUGUAGCCUAAUAUUGGAUUUCGGUAUUUCACGUACAGGAUAGGUGGGAGACUGGGAAGCACAGGCGUCAGCUUGUGUGGAGUCGACCUUGGGAUACCACUCUUGGAGUGCUGGAAUUCUAACCUGCGGCUUUGAAGCAAGUCGGGGGACAUUGUUAGGUGGGCAGUUUGACUGGGGCGGUCGCCUCCUAAAGAGUAACGGAGGCGCUCAAAGGUUCGCUCUGCAUGGAUGGAAACCAUGCGUCAGAGUGUAAACGCAAAAGCGAGCCUAACUGCGAGAAUGACGGUUCGAGCAGUAACGAAAGUUGGAGUUAGUGAUCCGGCGGUAUGUGAAUGGAAAUGCCGUCGCUCAACGGAUAAAAGCUACCCUGGGGAUAACAGGCUGAUCUCCCCCAAGAGUCCACAUCGACGGGGAGGUUUGGCACCUCGAUGUCGGCUCAUCGCAUCCUGGGGCUGUAUUCGGUCCCAAGGGUUUGGCUGUUCGCCAAUUAAAGCGGUACGCGAGCUGGGUUCAGAACGUCGUGAGACAGUUCGGUCCCUAUCUGUUGCGGGCGCAGGAAUAUUGAGAGGAGCUGUCCUUAGUACGAGAGGACCGGGAUGGACGUACCGCUGGUGCACCAGUUGUUCUGCCAAGGGCAUAGCUGGGUAGCUAAGUACGGACGAGAUAAACGCUGAAGGCAUCUAAGCGUGAAACUCCCCUCGAGAUAAGUGUUCCCAUCCUUCGGGAGUAAGGCCCCUUGUAGACUACAAGGUUGAUAGGUCAGGAGUGGAAGUGCAGUAAUGUAUGGAGCGGACUGAUACUAAUAGGCCGAGGGCUUGACCUA
rnacentral:rRNA from 1 species